UGGUCCUAGCCUUGUAAUCAAUUAUUACUUAAUUUACACAUGCAAGUCUCCGCACUCCUGUGAAAACGCCCUUAAAUCCCCAAUAGGGAUAAGGAGCUGGUAUCAGGCACAAUUUAUAGCCCAAGACACCUAGCUAUGCCACACCCACACGGGAAUUCAGCAGUGAUUAACAUUGAAAAUAAGCGACAGCUUGACUCAGUCAAAGUAAAAAGAGCCGGCUAAUCUGGUGCCAGCCGCCGCGGUUACACCACGUGGCUCAAAUUGAUUUCUUUCGGCGUAAAGCGUGAUUAAAGUCAUCAACAAAUUAUAGCCAAACUAAGACUAAGCUGUGACACGCUUGUAUUUAGGAAGACCAAAACGAAAGUUGCUAUAAUUAAAACAACUUGAACCCACGACAGUUGGGACACAAACUGGGAUUAGAUACCCCACUAUGCCUAACCGUAAACUUUAAAUUACAUCUAUAUCGCCCGGGAACUACGAGCAAAGCUUAAAACCCAAAGGACUUGACGGUACCCCACAUCCACCUAGAGGAGCCUGUCCUAUAAUCGAUAACCCCCGUUCAACCUCACCAUUUUUAGCUUAUCAGCCUGUAUACCUCCGUCGUCAGCUUACCACGUGAGCGACUUCCAGUGAGCUUAAUGCCCAUACGCCAACACGUCAGGUCAAGGUGCAGCAGAUAAAAUGGGAAGAGAUGGGCUACACUCUCUAUUCUAGAAAAUACGGAAGACUAUUUAUGAAACCUAGUCAGAAGGCGGAUUUAGUAGUAAAAAGAGAUAAGAGCGCUCUUUUUAACAUGGCACUGGGGUGUGUACACACCGCCCGUCACCCUCUUCAAAGCUAAUAUGAAGUUCUUAACACACUUAAGCACUACAGAAGAGGCAAGUCGUAACAUGGUAAGUAUACCGGAAGGUGUGCUUGGAAA
rnacentral:ncRNA from 1 species